AACAGCUCAAAUUUGAAAUCUGACCUCUUCGGGGUCCGAGUUGUAAUUUGCAGAAGGUGCCUCGGGUGAGUCCCCUGCCCAAGUCCCCUGGAACGGGGAGCCGGAGAGGGUGAGAGUCCCGUACGGCCGGGGCAGAUCCCGCACGAGGCCCUUUCGACGAGUCGAGUUGUUUGGGAAUGCAGCUCAAAACGGGUGGUAAAUUUCAUCCAAAGCUAAAUACCGGCCAGAGACCGAUAGCGCACAAGUAGAGUGAUCGAAAGAUGAAAAGCACUUUGGAAAGAGAGUUAAAAAGCACGUGAAAUUGUUGAAAGGGAAGCGCUUGCGGCCAGACUCGCCCGCGGACGCUCACCCGUCCCUCCGGGGACGGCGCAUUCGUCCGCGGCCGGGCCAGCAUGGGUUCGGGCGGCCGGACAAAGGCCCGCGGAACGUGGCUCCCCCUCGGGGGAGUGUUACAGCCGCGGGUGCAAUGCGGUCUGCCCGGACCGAGGAACGCGCUUUUGCCAGGAUGCUGGCGUAAUGGCUGCCAGCGACCCGUCUUGAAACACGGACCAAGGAGUCGACCAUUUUCGCGAGUGUUUGGGUAUCAAACCCGCACGCGCAAUGAAAGUGAACGGAGGUGGGAGUCCUUCUGGAUGCACCUCGACCGAUCCUGAAGUUUACGGAUGGAUUUGAGUAGGAGCGAAAAUGGCUGUCCCCGAAAGAUGGUGAACUUCUAACGUGCAAAUUGAUCUCCAAAGCUGCGUAUAGGGGCGAAAGACUUAUCGAACCAUCUAGUAGCUGGUUCCCAUCGAAGUUUCCCUCAGGAUAGCAGAGACGUCUUCAGUUUUAUGAGGUAAAGCGAAUGAUUAGAGGUUCGGGGGCCGAAACUGGCCUUCACCUAUUCUCAAACUUUAAAUAUGUAAGAAGCCCUUGUUGCUUAGUUGAACGUGGGCCUUCGAAUGCNCCGUCUNUAGUGGGCCAUUUUUGGUAAGCAGAACUGGNGAUGCGGGAUGAACCGAACGUGGGGUUAANGNNCCGGAAUGCACGCUCAUGANAUACCACAAAAGGUAUCGUUAAAUUAGGACAGNCGGACGGUGGCCACGGAAGUCGGAAUCCGCUAAGGAGUGUGU
rnacentral:rRNA from 1 species